rnacentral:lncRNA from 1 species
AUGGGCAGUAUUUUGGCCUAUGUAUUUAAUGUUUUUCUGACAUCGCCUAGUGCUGUCAGCAGCAGGAAAACGUUUGCUGGAUCCCUCUUUCUCUUACAGCUUCUGUUCACCGUUAUUUACUACCAAUGGAGGAGCUGUGGAUAUCUGGAUAGAAACUUCUGGUCCAGAAGCCAACAUGAGUCGUUUGCUUUGUCCUGUUCCUUUCCUGCCUUCUCCUACAAAGGAAAGAAGAAACUAAAACAGGGACCGUUUCUACAUGGUUCUGUACCUGGAUGGUCUUGCAGUGCCACCUUCUCUAAGAUUUUCAGUGGAAGCCAGGAUGCUUGGCUUGGUGAUCUGCAGCUGCUCCAUUUCGCCUUGGAUACUGCUGCUGAAGUCCACCAGAAGGAGCCUUUGUGUAUCAGUUUUGCAUAAGCUUCAAGGAAUAGAUUAACAUCUCAUCAGACCCUGUGCUUGUAAUAUCUGUACCAUGAGACUGCAAGAGAACUUCUCUUCCUCUAGGAAAGAACAGGAACCGGGAUUCCUCCUCUGAGAGAUGUGGGGCUCAUGCCUGAAGAGGAUGUAUGUGAUGUUUUUCUCCCCCGACCAAUGUAAUCAUCGAGAACUGAAAUACUUCUGGUAGCUUUUGCGAACUCUGUGAGCCUUGCCUUCUUUGCAGAGGAGCCAGAGUCUAUGUGGACGAUUUGAACCUUUGCCAUCAUUUGGAGCAGAAUGAAGCUCUGUAAAAGGACAGCGACUGAAUGCCAACUGGGUUGUCAUUAGCCCGGGCGGCCCAGGAAGCAGCUGAUGUGCAGUUUGUGGUGGAAGUCAUGCAGACACAAGGGGUAUGACUCAGUGAUGGAGAGGCCCCAGCCUCUGGCUGUAUUCCAAACCGAAGGUGGAUUCUGGGCUUGCUGUUGGGAUGGACCAGGGACAGCUAGUGGCUGCACGCACGCACAUGGCUGCAUAAAGCACAAAGGCUCUGAGGAUUCCCCUGUGGCCCUCCCUUUCGCAGAAGGCUGUUAAUGUUGCAGCGAUGUCUGGUGCUGCUGGCCCUGUUCCUCCUUUCUUCCACAGUAAUCAAUGGACGCAUGUCCUGGUCUUGAAGUCUGGCACUUUAGGAAUGAAAAGCUUAAUGGCUUUCCUUGGCUUUUUUUCCCCCCUCUUCUUUUCUUUUAUGAAGCAUAGGGUGUUUAGAACUAUGGAAGCAGUGCAAGAAAAAUAUUAAUGAAUAACUAUGGAGUGCAGACAUUAAUGCAUUCCUUUCUCUUGAAAUAACUGACUUUUCUCUGUGGGCUCUGUAAAAGAAAAAUGUCUGCUGAGUCUGAACCUGCUGUAUAGGAGCCAAAGUAGAUGGUGAUUUAGAACUUCACUGGCUUUUUUGUUAAAAUGUUACCUCUGCAUUUAUCAUGUGGCCAAAAAUCAUCUCUCUUUCUCCCCACAAUGAUAACCCUGAGGAGGCAAGGUAAGCCUAAGGCACAGGGGUGGUUCCUGAUGGCAACUGUGAAUGAAAAACGAUUUCUAGGACCCCCUCCCACACCCCAGACUCUACCCGAUGUUGGAGGAGAGGAAUUAAAGUGUUGCGAGCACUCUACCAUGGGAGUGCUCUGCAGCAGUGGAUUUUGAAGCCCCGAGUAGCUUUUGCUUCCCGGCAGGUAUGGAGGGGUACGCGAGCUGCGUGUGGGGCUGCGCCAGCAGCAAUGCUCCAAGGUUUGAAUCCAGCCUUCCCGGGCCAGGGCUGAAAACCGCAGGUCGGCUCAAGGCGGCGGCGCCUGACAGCCGGCCUUGCUCCAGCUGGUCCUUCGAGGGAGCGGGAGGCAGAGGGUGCCCGCGGCGGAGACCCCCGUGUCCCGCCGCCGGUGGAGCCGGGUGGGUGCCUCGGUGCCCCACGGAGCCCGGCUGCGCGGGCAGGCGCUGUCCGGCGCCCAGCGGAGCAGGAGGCUCAGGAACCUGCCCGAGAUAGCUGCGGGGCUCAGCUCAGCGUUUAACCCCCCCGGCCACCUCUCCCCGAUGGCGCCCACCCCUGCCUCAGCUGCCUCCCCCGCCUCGCCCACCCCGCCCGCCGCAGCGGCUGGCGAACAGGGCUUUGUCCCGGUGUCCCGGCCCGCCGGGACUGAACGCUGCAGCUGGGAUCAUUGUGCAAGGGACGGGGGAAGGGGGGUGCGACGGUGCCUCCCGCCAGGCGGUUUCCUUUGGCGGCCCCCGGCCCCCUCGCCUGCCCCCGCCGCUCCCCGGGAGCCGCCGGGACUUGUAGUCCGGCCCGGCCCGGCCCGGCCCGAGGGGCUGCCCGUAGGGGACCCC